UGGAUAUCCAAAUCUCUCUCUUCGCAAUGAGUUUCCAGUUAGAUGGAGGAGAGAGUAAUAAAACGCAGAGCUGAGAUUCCUGACUCCACAGAUCCCUGAGGAGAUGUUUACUAAAGGGAAUGUUCUGGCCACUGUUACCUUCCUCUGUACUUACCUGCCUCAUGGAGAACCCGAAAGGAAGAAGCCUAUACGUCUGGGGACACAUGUCCUAGAAGCACACCCCAUUAGAUAAAGUGUUGCAUACUCUUUGAUAAGGGCUUUCCAUUUGAGGUGGAGAGAGCAGGAGAAGCUGGCAUGGGGCAGCUUCUCUCUAACGUCACAUGCUGUAGUGCAACACUGAUUUAAAGUUAUCUGCCUCAGAUCCACAUUGAGAUGGUUAGCUACUAGUACAGAGGAACUUUACUAGGUUAGAGUGCAAUGGCACAAUCUCGGCUCACUGCAACCUCUGCCUCCCAGGUUCAAGCGAUUCUCCUGCCUCAGCCUCCUUAGUAGCUGGGAUUACCAGUGUGCACCACCAUGCCCAGGUAAU